rnacentral:rRNA from 1 species
CGGGGUGGAGUAAUGUCUGGGAAACUGCCUGAUGGAGGGGGAUAACUGCUGGAAACGGUAGCUAAUACCGCAUAACGUCGCAAGACCAAAGAGGGGGACCUUCGGGGCCUCUUGCCAUCGGAUGUGCCCAGAUGGGAUUAGCUAGUAGGUGGGGUAACGGCUCACCUAGGCGACGAUCCCUAGCUGGUCUGAGAGGAUGACCAGCCACACUGGAACUGAGACACGGUCCAG